UACAGAGGUCUCAAGCGUUGUUCGGAUUCAUUGGGCGUAAAGGUUGCGUAGGCGGCGCGGUAAGUCGGGUGUGAAAUUUCGAGGCUUAACUUCGAAACUGCAUUCGAUACUGCCGUGCUUGAGGACUGGAGAGGAGACUGGAAUUUACGGUGUAGCGGUGAAAUGCGUAGAUAUCAGGAGGAACACCGGUGGCGAAGGCGGGUCUCUGGGCCGAAAUUGACGCUGAGGAGCGAAAGCGUGGGGAGCAAACAGG
rnacentral:rRNA from 1 species